rnacentral:rRNA from 1 species
UACGUAGGGGGCAAGCGUUGGUCCGGAUUUAUUGGGCGUGAAAGAGCUUAGUAGGCGGUUUGUCGCGGUUCUGCUGUGAAAUUUCGGGGCUCAACCCCGAACUUGCAGUGGGUACGGGCAGACUAGAGUGUGGUAGGGGAGACUGGGAAGUUCCUGGUGUUCAGCGGUGGAAAUGACGCAGAUAUCAGGAGAACACCAGCGGCGAAGGCGGCGCUCUGGGCCGGUACUGACACUGAGGAGCGAAAGGCGUGGG